GCCACUCCAGUAGUCUUGUUGCCUAUCAGCAUAAGUAAAGAAGUCACCGGAUAGAGAUGGAAAACCUACAAUCUGACCGGAGCCAACCUCACCAGGAAGAGAAUAAUUUAUUCUAUCAGCCUCCUCACGAAGUGUUUGGAAGUAAUCUUCCAGAGUACCAAAUUUAGCCUCUGCAUUUAAACUAGGAUUAGAGUUUAUAUAAUCAAAUAACUUCUGGUAAUUCCGAAACUGAGCCUCUGCUUCAUCAACACUGAUAUAACGGAAAUCAUCUCCUAGAGGAACAAGGAGAGUAUUAGUCCGGUACAGUGUUGAUUUCUUCCUGUAUUGAUCUAGUAACUUUUGGGCCCUUUCCCGUACAUUUUCCGGGGUGGUCUCCACUGGAUGUUCCCCCCAUGGGCACAUCUCAUAAUAAAAGCCAUGUACUCGAGCAAAAUCAAACUGACAACAAAUAGCAGGCUCUGGCCCACAAGUAUGAGGAAUAUCAUAUGAAUAGAAGGGCAUCAUGUGCACAAAAAUAUCAGUUGUUUCCUCAGCAUC
rnacentral:misc_RNA from 1 species